AAAAUAAGAAGAAUUUAUAUUAUAUAAUAAUUUGUGUUUGAACUUAAUUAAAAUACACUUUUUUUUUGAAAUAGAACUCAAUUAAAAUAUUAAUGACACUUAAUCAAAUAAUCAAAUUUCAGUUAACAUAAAUCCCUCCCACGAUUAACCCUAACCCCCUCUAUCCCUCAAACCCGCAGUCCCUCUCUCUCAAACGUUGUCCCUCUCCCUCAGUCCCGCCGUGCCUCCAUUCUUGCCGUUGUGCCUCCGUUCUUGCUGCCGUGCCUCCGUUCUCGUCGCCAAGGUUUAGAGUUGCACGAAUGUCUGUAUGGAAGUUCGUGUUAGAGUGGGUGAAUCUCAUUCUUAGUCACAUAUAAAAAGUAGAGGAUAUGCUGGAAAUGAAGCAAAAACAUGAGACUUUUGCUGAAUUUUCCAUGAAGAUUCUUCAACAAUAGACUACUAGAUAUUGUUUUGAAAAAAAAUAUUGUACUCUUUGUUUUGUAUAUUUAAUCUCUUGUCGUUGUUAGCUUCAUUUCAGUGUACAUUAACAGAAUAUGAAAUAUUGUGAAAUUAUAUAUGACAAUUAUAAUUUUUUAGUGUCU